rnacentral:tRNA from 1 species
GCCUGGGUGGUUCAGUCAGGUGAGUGUCUGACUUCCGCUCAGGUCAUGAUCUCAUGGUUCGUGGGUUCAAGCCCCACAUUGGGCU